AGAGAUGUAGUAUAAUCAUUAUAUUUAGUUUGGGGCUAAAAGAUACUACGUUGUAGUCAUUUCUA
rnacentral:tRNA from 1 species